CCUACGGGUGGCAGCAGUGGGGAAUAUUGCACAAUGGGCGAAAGCCUGAUGCAGCAAUGCCGCGUGAAGGAAGAAGGCCUUCGGCUCGUAAACUUCUAUCAACAGGGACGAAAGAAAUUCCGGUACCUGAAUAAGAAGCCCCGGCUAACUACGUGCCAGCAGCCGCGGUAAUACGUAGGGGGCAAGAGUUAUCCGGAAUUACGGGGGGCAAAGGGUGAGUAGGCGGCAUGGUAAGCCAGAUGUGAAAGCCUUGGGCUUAACCCGAGGAUUGCAGUUGGAACUAUCAAGCUAGAGUACGGGAGAGGAAAGCGGAAUUCCUGGUGUAGCGGUGAAAUGCGUAGAUAUUACGAAGAACACCGGUUGCGAAGGCGGCUUUCUGGACUGAAACUGACGCUGAGGCACGAAAGCGUGGGGAGCGAACAGGAUUAGAUACCCCGGUAGUC
rnacentral:rRNA from 1 species